CCGGAAACAUCCAGAGAGGGGUCCCCCUUUUGGUCGGUAUACAGGUGGUGCAUGGUUGUCGUCAGCUCGUGUCGUGAGAUGUUGGGUUAAGUCCCGCAACGAGCGCAACCCUCGUUCUAUGUUGCCAGCACGUGAUGGUGGGGACUCAUAGGAGACUGCCGGGGUCAACUCGGAGGAAGGUGGGGAUGACGUCAAAUCAUCAUGCCCCUUAUGUCUUGGGCUUCACGCAUGCUACAAUGGCCGGUACAAAGGGCUGCGAUACCGCAAGGUGGAGCGAAUCCCAAAAAACCGGUCUCAGUUCGGAUUGGGGUCUGCAACUCGACCCCAUGAAGUCGGAGUCGCUAGUAAUCGCAGAUCAGCAACGCUGCGGUGAAUACGUUCCCGGGCCUUGUACACACCGCCCGUCAAGUCACGAAAGUCGGUAACACCCGAAGCCGGUGGCCCAACCCUUGUGGGGGGAGCCGUCGAAGGUGGGACUGGUGAUGGGACUAAGUCGAAACAAGGAUGCCGACGGG
rnacentral:rRNA from 1 species